rnacentral:rRNA from 1 species
CCCAGGUCAGGCGGGGCUACCCGCUGAGUUUAAGCAUAUCAAUAAGCGGAGGAA